rnacentral:lncRNA from 1 species
AAACACUCCAGGACCUUGGGAAAGAAAUCUGUAUCAGACAUGUGGGCUUCAUUAAGGGAAAUGCCUUCAGAAGAUUAUUUUUCCAUGUUAUGAGAAAAAAUCUCAACAACCACAGCAGAUGUUCCAGUGCCCAGGUGACCUAGAAGCUUCAUGUGGAGGUGAUGGAACUUCAGUAGGCCUGGAAGUGAUGCAGUAUCUUCUGCCCUCAAUGACAUCUUGAAUGACCAUAUACAAGAAGCGGAGUCCAAGACAAGCUGUAGUGGCUCACGUGCACUCCCAACACUUUGGGAGACCGAGGUGGGAGGAUCACUUGAGCCCAGGAGUUCAAGACCAACCUAGGCAACACAGAGACACCCUGUCUCCACACAAAAAAAAUAAAAAUUAGCCAGGCAUGGCAGCAUGCACCUGGAAUUUUAGCUAUUGGGGAGGCUGAGGUGGGAGGAUCACUUGAGCCUAGGAGGUGGAGGCUGCAGUGAGCUGUGAUCAUGCCACUGCACUCCAGUCCAGUGAUAGACCAAGAUCCUGUCUUGAAAAACAAACAAACAAACAAAAAAACAGAGUCCAGUUCCAGCUUCAUGCACAGAGUGGGUGUGCAGCUUCAACAGCAGACGCUGGGGUCGACAACAGCCGCAGUGUUCUUUGAAGGGGCAAGGUAGGAAGGAUCCUAGAGGCAAUAAAUAUGGCUCCUUGGGGACUUUGUUUUCUUUCUUGCAAAGAGCCAGGUCUAUUAAACAUCAGCUCUGCAGAGGGGAGAGCACACUGAGGAAGCAGAACUUACUGCACAUCAAGGGAGGAGCCCUUACAAAGUAGCAGGUUGCAGACAAUUUGCAAAUUCCGGCAAGAGUAAAUGAAGAACACAGUAUUUCACAGCCAGUGAGGGCAGUAUGACUUCAUGGAUAAGAGUGUGCUCCCUUUACAGUGCAAUAAAAAAACUGCACUUAAUGCCCAAAUGCCUGAAUUGUAAUCUUGGCUCUGACGGUACAAGCUGUGUGAAUUUGAACAAGUUACUUGCAGUCUCUCAUUGUUGACUAGAUAAUAAUGGUACACAUCUUAGGGUUGUUGCACAGAUUUAGUGCGUUAAUGUACAUAAAAUGCUUGCCACAGAGCUUAGCAUAAG